rnacentral:rRNA from 1 species
UACAGAGGUCUCAAGCGUUGUUCGGAUUCAUUGGGCGUAAAGGGUGCGUAGGCGGCGCGGUAAGUCGGGUGUGAAAUCUCGGAGCUUAACUCCGAAACUGCAUUCGAUACUGCCGUGCUUGAGGACUGGAGAGGAGACUGGAAUUUACGGUGUAGCGGUGAAAUGCGUAGAUAUCGUAAGGAAGACCAGUGGCGAAGGCGGGUCUCUGGACAGAUCCUGACGCUGAGGCACGAAGGUCAGGGGAGCAAACGGGG